GAUGAACGCUGGCGGCGUGCCUAAUACAUGCAAGUCGAACGGAGAGCUAGCAAUAGUUCUUAGUGGCGAACGGGUGAGUAACGCGUUGGUGACCUGCCCCGAAACGGGGGAUAACAGUUCGAAAGGACUGCUAAUACCCCAUAAUAUCUUGAUAGUUAGAGUAAUUGAGAUGAAAGGAGAAAUCCGUUUUGGGAGGGGCCUGCGUCCCAUCAGCUAGUUGGUAGGGUAAAAGCCUACCAAGGCGACGACGGGUAGGGGACCUGAGAGGGUGAUCCCCCACACUGGCACUGAAACACGGGCCAGACACCUACGGGUGGCUG
rnacentral:rRNA from 1 species